rnacentral:lncRNA from 1 species
AGGGGUGGAGCAGGCACUGUCUUCCAUCCACUCCUCCGCUGUGUUUGGAGCCCUUUGGUUUAAGGGUGGAGAGAGAAGCCAGCAGCUGUUUGCCUCAGUGACGUUUUAAGACUCUGUGUUCUAAAGGAGCUACUUCAGCCCCGUAAGAAAAUAUGGCUCAGGCUUGGUUAGAAGCUCCUGGAAGAGUAAAAAGUGAGAGGUCAGCCCUGCGUCACCAUGGCAACCCACACAGCUCGGGCCAGGAGCAGAUGAACGGAGCUCUUUACGCCGUGUGA